UGGGGAAUAUUGGACAAUGGGGGGAACCCUGAUCCAGCCAUGCCGCGUGUGUGAAGAAGGCCUUAUGGUUGUAAAGCACUUUAAGCGAGGAGGAGGGUACUGGUAUUAAUACUACCAGCUACUGGACGUUACUCGCAGAAUAAGCACCGGCUAACUCUGUGCCAGCAGCCGCGGUAAUACAGAGGGUGCGAGCGUUAAUCGGACUUACUGGGCGUAAAGCGUGCGUAGGCGGCUAAUUGAGUCGGAUGUGAGAUCCCCGAGCUUAACUUGGUAAUUGCAUUCGAUACUGGUUAGCUAGAGUGUGGGAGAGGAUGGUAGAAUUCCAGGUGUAGCGGAGAAAUGCGUAGAUAUAGGAAGGGACACCAGUCGGUAAGGCGACCACCUGGGCGCAUUCUGACACUGAGGUGCGAAAGCGUGGGGAGCAAACAGG
rnacentral:rRNA from 1 species